rnacentral:rRNA from 1 species
CGCGUAAGUAACCUAUCCCUAAGUGGGGGAUAACUUGCCGAAAGGCAGGCUAAUACCGCAUAUUCUGGUAAGCGUUAGCUUAUCAGCAAAGCUUUUGCACUUGGGGAGGGGCUUGCGUCUGAUUAGAUAGUUGGUAGGGUAAUGGCCUACCAAGUCUGUGAUCAGUAGCUGGUCUGAGAGGACAACCAGCCAGACGGGGACUGAGAUACGGCCCUGACUCCUACGGGAGGCAGCAGCAAGGAAUUUUGCGCAAUGGGCGAAAGCCUGACGCAGCGACGCCGCGUGGGGGAUGACGGCCUUCGGGUUGUAAACCCCUUUUCUCGAGGAAGAAAUAUGACGGUACUCGAGGAAUAAGUCUUGGCUAACUACGUGCCAGCAGCCGCGGUAAUACGUAGAAGGCGAACGUUAUCCGGAUUUACUGGGCGUAAAGAGGGUGUAGACGGUUCUUU